UACUAACUCUGGCGGCGUGCUUAACACAUGCAAGUCGAACGGAAAGGCCCUGCUUUUGUGGGGUGCUCGUGUGGCGAACGGGUGAGUAACACGUGAGUCACCUGCCCUUGACUUUGGGAACACUUCAGGAAACUGGGGCAUAUACCGGAUAGGAGCUCCUGCUGCAUGGUGGGGGUUGAAAAGUUUCGGCGGUUGGGGAUGGCCUCGCGGCAUUUCAGCUUGUUGGUGGGGUAGGUGCUUACCAAGGCUUUGACGGGUAGGCGGGCCGAGAGGGUGGCCGGGCACAUUGGGGAUGGGGUAAGGGCCGGAAGUCUACGGGAGGCAGGAGUGGGGAAUAUGGGAAAAUGGGUGGAAGCCUGAGUGCGGCAAGCCGUGGGGGGGAUGAGGGGCUUCGGGUUGUAAAACGAGUUAGCCCAUGACGAAGCUGUGAGUGACGGUAGUGGGUAAAGAAGCAGCGGCUAACUACGUG
rnacentral:rRNA from 1 species